GGGUAGUACUCACUACUCCAUGCUUAUGAACUAUCGAGUAUCGAUAACCAUCCGAUGUUUUAGCGCGAACCAUAGUGCUACAGCGAGUGGUUGACUGCCAGUCCAUUGUCAGUAUUGGCCCUCGGACUGUUUUUGAUGGUCAGAAACAAGUCACAAAUCUGACUUGAAAACCCACUAGCACAGGACAUCCUCAUACAAAUCCAAAAAUUGAAACAUCAAACAUUCCUUGUAUGGGUGCCCGGCCACUGUGAUAGUGAAAGCUCAAGUUGACAUUCAAGCAAAAGGAGCAACAGCACAAGUAAUUCCAGUGACUGGGUACCCACGUGGAGAUUUAGAAUCACAUAAAAUAUGAGUUGAUUGGGAACAAACAAGACACAACAUCAUAGAGAAUAAACUACUAAACAUCAAAGAUUCUUUCAGGUGUUGGACUUCAUCCUUCCUACAAAGCUGAUGUGGAGAAGUAACUCUGGCCAGGCUAUGGAUCGGACACACCAGAUACACACAUAGCCACCUCAUGGACAGAGAAACACCUCCACAAUGCAACAUAUGCCAGUGGCUUGGACUGUAGAACAUAUAUUAACUGAAUGUCAACUUUUAAAAACUCAAGAACAAUUCUUAUAUUAGGUGGCAUUUCUACACGCUCUAUAUAUGGAGCCAUGGAAUGGCACCUAACACUAAUCAAUCUAUAUUUAUAUUUCUAUGGCAUAAUGUUCUAAACUUUUGUAAAAUCAUGACAUUAAUAUCCCCUGUAUAACGGCAUUUCAAGCCAAAUUUAAAUUCAAAUUAACACGUAACAAUCAUGGUGUUUGGGAUAGAAAAUGUAUAUUAAAACACUUAAAGUAGAAAAUACGAAUAUUUAUUUUUUGUAACAAAAUCUACAUAUAACUUAACAAUAUAAACUUUUUUUUAUGAUUCCUUAUCCUUUUGUUCUUGUUAACAUCUUCUUAUGAUGAAUGGACAAAAUUUUACACUAAAAUAAACGUUCGUGCAAUUAAAGAAAAAUUCAUUUUACUACUGAACUGACCCAGCAGUAAAAACUGAGAUUCCAUCGAGGUAUAAUCAUUUUAAUUUAAAAGAUGAAGUAACAAUUUGGUUUGUAUAUUAUAAAUAACAUAUUUCAUGUGAUACAUAUGUUGUGUCAUUCUUAACAAAUAAUACAAUUUAUUAUUAUUGUUAUUAUUAUGACAUUACAAUAUAUUAGGUGUAAAUUAAAUCAUAACCAAUAGUUUUACUUUGUAUAAUAAUGCCUAAUGAGAUGUUCUAUCUGUUAUUACUAUUUCUCAAACCGUUUAUGAAGAAAUCGUCGUAUUCUACAU